rnacentral:rRNA from 1 species
UACAGAGGGUGCAAGCGUUAAUCGGAAUUACUGGGCGUAAAGCGCGCGUAGGCGGUUUUGCAAGUCGGGUGUGAAAUCCCCAGGCUUAACCUGGGAACUGCAUUCGAGACUGCAUUACUAGAGUAUGGGAGAGGGAAGUGGAAUUUCCGGUGUAGCGGUGAAAUGCGUAGAUAUCGGAAGGAACAUCAGUGGCGAAAGCGACUUCCUGGACCAAUACUGACGCUCAUGUGCGAAAGCGUGGGGAGCAAACAGG